AGUGAACGCUGGCGGUAGGCCUAAUACAUGCAAGUCGAACGGCCGCACAGUAAGCGCUUGCUUCUACGGGUGGCGAGUGGCGGACGGGUGACGCAUACAUCGGCAUCCUCUUUUUCGUGGGGGACAACGUAGGGAAACUUAUGCUAAUACCGCAUAUGACCUACCGCAGAAUGCAGGAGUUCUUCACACCUUGCCUGACAGAAUUAGCCGAUGCCGGAUUAGCUAGUUGGCUAGGUAAAGGCCCACCAAGGCGACGAUGCGUAGCAGGUCUGAGAGGAUGAUCGGCCACACUGGAACUGAGACACGGUCCAGACUCCUACGGGAGGCAGCAGUAGGGAAUAUUGGACAAUGGGCGCAAGCCUGAUCCAGCCAUACCGCGUGAGUGAAGAAGGUCUUCGGAUCGUAAAACCCUGUUAUUAGGGAAGAAAAUCUGCGUAUUAAUACCCCGCUGUUCUGACGGUACCCAAAGAGUAAGCACCGGCUAACUUCGUG
rnacentral:rRNA from 1 species